ACACUGCUGAGGAGUCCCAGACUAGGACGAAACGGCCUUUCAGUGA
rfam:Schistosoma haematobium scaffold436_28, whole genome shotgun sequence.